rnacentral:rRNA from 1 species
ACUCCUACGGGAGGCAGCAGUAAGGAAUAUUGCGCAAUGGGCGACAGCCUGACGCAGCGACGCCGCGUGGGGGAUGAAGGUCUUCGGAUUGUAAACCCCUUUCGGCAGGGAAGAUGGAACGGGCAACCGUUCGGACGGUACCUGCAGAAGCAGCCACGGCUAACUUCGUGCCAGCAGCCGCGGUAAUACGAAGGUGGCAAGCGUUGUUCGGAUUUACUGGGCGUACAGGGAGCGUAGGCGGUUAGGUAAGCCCUCCGUGAAAUCUCCGGGCCUAACCCGGAAAGUGCAGAGGGGACUGCUUGGCUAGAGGAUGGGAGAGGAGCGCGGAAUUCCCG